AAUAGAUAAACGUCAAUUUGCCGUUAUAUGAUUUAGCUUAUUUUUAUUUUGUCAUCUCAUAAUUAAAAAAAAAAGCACUUAACUAUUUUGUAUCUUUUAUAUAUUUUUAUCCAAAAAAUUUGCUAUAAAAUCAAAUAGAACAGUAAAGUAAAAUAAUUUGAUAACCCUAGUACAGUUAAGUAUAACUUUUUAAACUCUAAUUUGGCUAUGUUUGGUUCAAAGGAUAAAGGAAGAAUAAGGAAUUUAUUCCUCUUAUUCUUCCAAACGGUGUCUUUAUUAGAGUAGAAAGUUUUGAUAGGUAUAAAAGGAGUGUUGAUAUAAAUAUUAAAGGGUCAAUUGCAUACAGAUUUCCGCAAAUAUAGUGAAUUGCAGAUAUAUUCCUGUAAAGUUCAACUUUCAUAAGCUAUCCCUACAAAAAUUCUAAUAUUUUUAUAUAUGUUCCUACCGUUAGAACCCGUCAGAAAAGUUUAGUUAACCAUAGGUUAAAUAAUUUACCUGGAUUAAUUUUUGACAUUUGUACCCUCUUAUAUUAUACUGUUAUAAUUUUUGGAGGGAUAUAUUUGUGAUGGUAAAAUUGGAAAUAAAAGCAGUUUUCUAAUGGUUCUCUAACAGUAACAAAUCAGAGGAACAUAUCUGAAAAUAUUAGGACUUUUGUAGGAAUAACUUAUGAAAGUUGAACUUUAUAAGAAUAUAUUUGUAAUUCACUAUAUUUGCGGGGACCUAUAUGCAAUUAACCGAAUAUUAAAAACACUAUUAUCUAAUAGCUUGAUUUUUUGAAGAAAAAUACUUAUUUUAUAUAAUUUAACAUAGUGUUU
rnacentral:lncRNA from 1 species